CUACGGGACGCAGCAGUUAGGAAUAAUCUACAAUGCGCGAAAGCGUGAUAGUUUGAGCCAGAGUGUUUUUCAAUUGAAAGACUUUUGUGAAAUGUAAAAAGUUUCACGAAUAAGGACUGGGUAAGACUAGUGCCAGCCGCCGCGGUAAUACUAGCGGUCCAAGUCGCAACCAUUUUUAUUGGGUCUAAAACAUCCGUAGCUUGCUUGACAAGUCUUCUGUGAAAUUUUACGUCUAAAACGUAGAGCGCGCAGAAGGUACUAUCAAGCUAGAGACCGGAAGACGUAAGAAGUACAUUCAGAGUAGCGGUUAGAUGUGUUAAUCCUGGAUGGACUAACAAGAGCGAAGGCAUCUUACGAGGACGGUUCUGACAGUAAGGGAUGAAAGCUAGGGGCGCAAAUGGGAUUAGAUACCCCAGUAGUC
rnacentral:rRNA from 1 species